UGGGGAAUAUUGGACAAUGGGCGAAAGCCUGAUCCAGCCAUGCCGCGUGUGUGAAGAAGGUCUUCGGAUUGUAAAGCACUUUAAGUUGGGAGGUAGGGCAGUAAGCGAAUACCUUGCUGUUUUGACGUUACCGACAGAAUAAGCACCGGCUAACUCUGUGCCAGCAGCCGCGGUAAUACAGAGGGUGCAAGCGUUAAUCGGAAUUACUGGGCGUAAAGCGCGCGUAGGUGGUUCGUUAAGUUGAAUGUGAAAGCCCCGGGCUCAACCUGGGAACUGCAUCCAAAACUGGCGAGCUAGAGUAGGGCAGAGGGUGGUGGAAUUUCCUGUGUAGCGGAGAAAUGCGUAGAUAUAGGAAGGAACACCAGUGGCGAAGGCGACCACCUGGGCUCAUACUGACACUGAGGUGCGAAAGCGUGGGGAGCAAACAGG
rnacentral:rRNA from 1 species